CAGGUCCAGUCAGACUUGCAGGGAACUUUGUAGUUAAUCCAAAGGCCUAUACGAGUUUCUACGUGAUUUAUGUAUUCAUAGACUACAGACUCAAACUGCCUGAAGUGAGAACGCGAGCCAACACAUUUCAUUCACAAAAAUUCCAGGGAGGGUCACAUGGGAGAGAACGAAAAGAAAAACAAGUUGGACGAAAAAAGUUAUGAGACGAUAGAAGAGAAGAACCCUGAAGAUGGAGGCGGGCCCAUCAGCAUGGGAGCUUGGUUCUUCUAUAGAGACCUCUGUAUCUUGGGAUGUCAGAGAAGAUUGAUGAGCACGAGCCACACCUAUCUCCAGAGAGUACUUUAUAUGACUUUAUUCUGAAUACAUGGCACAAUCAAACACAGCAGAAGGCAAACUGGAGUUUGAGGCAUACAGAGGGUAUGUGGUUACAAUACAGGUACAACACAGUGAAAAGGAAGAGUUUGUCAGAGAAUAUCUGAGCAGCAGGAGUGCAAGGGGUUUGCAUCCAAGGCUCACCGUCAAUCUGCAUUGGGAGAGCUUUACUGGUCCUGGGGAAAAUAAAGAAAACAGCAAUGAUAAGUAAUCCUGCCAAAUAAUACCAUACAAUGUAAGAUGGACAACAUGCAUUACAUAUAGAACUCACCAACUCAUUAUCCUUAAAGUGAAUAUUUGUAGGUGUGGAAGUUUGCCUUCGCUUUGUUUAACAUUCCUAUUACUUUGAUUAAUGUCUUUAGGUUUGUAUAUGCAAUUUUAGCAUAUAAAUUAUUUUAAGCAUCUCUCCCUCUCCCUCCAAUAUCUAGCAUGGCUGUGUAAUGUGUCUUGCUCCCUGACCUCAAGCAGACCCAUGGUGCAAAUGUACCCCUUAGCGAUCAGAUGGGUGUACACAAAACUCUGGUACCACAGUACCAUACAGGCGUAAAGAAAAUAUUCAAAGUAUUGGGAAUAUUAAACAAAACCAAGGUGAGCUGCUAGGUUAAACCUCCACACUUACUGUAUAAACAUUCACUUUAACAUAUCAAAAACGAUUAAAUACUCAGACCACCUGAAUCAACGUAUUUAAUGUAAUAAUUUCCAGUCAUACAAUGCAUAUCACACAUUUUGACAGUAGUUUCUCCAUUUAACUGCAGAGUUGAAAACAGCCAACUUUACCGGAUGGU